CUCUACCUUCUUCUCAUUGAUUAAAAAGUUUUGGUUCAUAUUUUUGUCCCGUUCUUAGUGGUUUGUAAAUUUGUGGUUUCAUCGCUCCAAUGCCACAAAGAAACUAUUUGAAUUACAUUUUGUGGCACUAUACACAGGUUUAGCAGCUGCGGUUUAGACAUGGCUGCAACAUAUCUUUUUUUGUUUAAACAGCAUCUAGAACAUGAGAUCAAGUCCAUUUUUCCAGGCAUCCAGAUCAAGUCCAUUUUCCCAGGUGAAACUUUGAACACCUAAAGAGGGCGAUUUAUGUAAGGAUUGCAUCUGCCAAAGUCGCAUUUGAAUCUACAGAUUGAGGAUUCACUUGCAUUUGCUCCUAAACUCAAACGAAAAGCAAUACUCUCUAUUCAGAGAUCAUGGGGAGAGAUCCCAUAGAUUUUUACACAGAUUUCUAUCAUGGCCGCUGGAACUGGAAUCACUGUUCUCUUCGCUGUGAUUUAUAGCCUUGCUUCAAGGCGUGUACCCUUUUGGGCAAACAAGUUCUUCAACACUGGACCGUCUGGACUUGGUUUCAGUUUGUAAUUACUGCUUUGGGCUGUGGAUAGACUCGGGAGGGGAUACUUAGUGCAUACUUCUUCCAUGGGUUAUGGCUUCUAAGUUAGCAACGAGAACAAGAGUAAUCUUCGAGGAAGCAAAAGCAACUACCAAAUUCUUUAUUUUCUUAUAGGAAACAUCUUUGCACCUAUGUAAAUUAUAUGUUUCUCCAGUGACCUGAAGAAAUAAAUUGGUUUUGUGAAAACAAACAAAAAGUUU